rnacentral:rRNA from 1 species
UACGUAGGGUGCAAGCGUUAAUCGGAAUUACUGGGCGUAAAGCGUGCGCAGGCGGUUUUGUAAGUCUGUCGUGAAAUCCCCCGGGCUCAACCUGGGAAUUGCGAUGGAGACUGCAAGGCUAGAAUCUGGCAGAGGGGGGUAGAAUUCCACGUGUAGCAGUGAAAUGACGUAGAGAUGUGGAGGAACACCGAUGGCGAAGGCAGCCCCCUGGGUCAAGAUUGACGCUCAUGCACGAAAGCGUGGGGAGCAACAAGG